rnacentral:rRNA from 1 species
AUUGAACGCUGGCGGCAGGCCUAACACAUGCAAGUCGAGCGGAUGAUGGGAGCUUGCUCCUGGAUUCAGCGGCGGACGGGUGAGUAAUGCCUAGGAAUCUGCCUGGUAGUGGGGGACAACGUUUCGAGAGGAACGCUAAUACCGCAUACGUCCUACGGGAGAAAGCAGGGGACCUUCGGGCCUUGCGCUAUCAGAUGAGCCUAGGUCGGAUUAGCUUGUUGGUGAGGUAAUGGCUCACCAAGGCAACGAUCCGUAACUGGUCUGAGAGGAUGAUCAGUCACACGGGAACUGAGACACGGUCCAGAGUCCUACGGGAGGCAGCAGUGGGGAAUAUUGGACAAUGGGCGAAAGCCUGAUCCAGCCAUGCCGCGUGUGUGAAGAAGGUCUUCGGAUUGUAAAGCACUUUAAGUUGGGAGGAAGGGUUGUAGAUUAAUACUCUGCAAUUUUGACGUUACCGACAGAAUAAGCACCGGCUAACUCUGUGCCAGCAGCCGCGGUAAGAC